rnacentral:misc_RNA from 1 species
UACGUAGGUCGCGAGCGUUAUCCGGAAUUAUUGGGCGUAAAGCGUCCGUAGGCGUCCCAACAAGUCUGAUGUUAAAUCUGAGGGCUCAACCCUCAGUUCGUAUCGGAAACUAUUGGGAUCGAGGUGUGCAGGGGCAGAUGGAAUUCCAGAAGUAGGGGUAAAAUCCGUAGAUCUCUGGAGGAACACCAAACGCGAAGGCAUUCUGCUGGGCACUACCUGACGCUGAGGGACGAAAGCGUGGGGAGCAAACGGG